CUCUCUUCGAUCCAUGAAAAGAUUACUGCUCUCCAGAACCAGCAACUUAUCUCGCAGAUUUCGAACAAUGAAAUCAUUGAAGCUCUAUCUCAAUUACAAUCUGAUUGUGCCCCCAGGCCCUCCGGCUUCCAGCCUUUAUUCUACAAACAGUUUUGGCCGAUUGUUAGGAAUGAGGUGUUGGCUGCUGUUCAUGAAGUCUUCAGCACCUGCUCUAUGCCUAGG
rnacentral:lncRNA from 1 species